CUGUUUAGUCCCCAGGAAGUCACUUCUCAUUCCUUGUCCUUUGUUCUUAAAAUAAAAAAAGUGACUUCAUCCAAAACCAUGAAGUCUUCCAGGCUGUACCACUGCUGCUUACAUUGGAGGCAAACACUGCUUUGGAGUAAUGUGGGAAAAGAUUUGAGCAGCAGAAGUGCUUAGAUUUCUUUUAGGUUAUCCAUUCAGCUCACUGGAAGAGUGACGGAGACAAGGUCUCAACAUUCUACUUCUGGCCAGGAAUGAAGUCAGUGUACUUGGCUGCUGCAUUCCUUGAGAGCCUCUAGGACUACUGCCUGUGGAAAAAAAUUAUCACCAGAUCAUCACCAAGGGGAGGAGGGGAAGGAGGAGAAGGAACAGGACAAAUCAAGCACUUCAAAUUGCUCCCUGGAAAUGGU